AGGACAUAGACCCACCUACUGGGCAGGGGUCCAGCCAUGGAUGGGCCUGGGAGGACAUAGACCCACCUACUGGGGAGUCAGGUCCAGCCAUGGAUGGGCCUGGGAGGACAUAGACCCACCUACUGGGGAGUCAGGUCCAGCCAUGGAUGGGCCUGGGAGGACAUAGACCCACCUACUGGGGAGUCAGGUCCACCUACUGGGGAGUCAGGUCCAGCCAUGGAUGGGCCUGGGAGGACAUAGACCCACCUACUGGGGAGUCAGGUCCACCUACUGGGGAGUCAGGUCCACCUACUGGGGAGUCAGGUCCAGCCAUGGAUGGGCCUGGGAGGACAUAGACCCACCUACUGGGGAGUCAGGUCCACCUACUGGGGAGUCAGGUCCACCUACUGGGGAGUCAGGUCCAGCCAUGGAUGGGCCUGGGAGGACAUAGACCCACCUACUGGGGAGUCAGGUCCACCUACUGGGGAGUCAGGUCCACCUACUGGGGAGUCAGGUCCAGCCAUGGAUGGGCCUGGGAGGACAUAGACCCACCUACUGGGGAGUCAGGUCCAGCCAUGGAUGGGCCUGGGAGGACAUAGACCCACCUACUGGGGAGUCAGGUCCAGCCAUGGAUGGGCCUGGGAGGACAUAGACCCACCUACUGGGGAGUCAGGUCCAGCCAUGGAUGGGCCUGGGAGGACAUAGACCCACCUACUGGGGAGUCAGGUCCACCUACUGGGGAGUCAGGUCCACCUACUGGGGAGUCAGGUCCAGCCAUGGAUGGGCCUGGGAGGACAUAGACCCACCUACUGGGGAGUCAGGUCCACCUACUGGGGAGUCAGGUCCACCUACUGGGGAGUCAGGUCCAGCCAUGGAUGGGCCUGGGAGGACAUAGACCCACCUACUGGGGAGUCAGGUCCACCUACUGGGGAGUCAGGUCCACCUACUGGGGAGUCAGGUCCAGCCAUGGAUGGGCCUGGGAGGACAUAGACCCACCUACUGGGGAGUCAGGUCCACCUACUGGGGAGUCAGGUCCACCUACUGGGGAGUCAGGUCCAGCCAUGGAUGGGCCUGGGAGGACAUAGACCCACCUACUGGGGAGUCAGGUCCACCUACUGGGGAGUCAGGUCCACCUA